rnacentral:lncRNA from 1 species
CUCCAUUCCUCCUCCAGAAAAUUCAGUCAUUCCCUGAGAGUCUCGGUUUAUCUGAGCUAGUAACAUUGUCUGCCUCGCCGAGAAAUUUUCCAACAAUUCCUCCGUCCGACCACCAUGCACCAGGACAGGAAACGGCCGCCUCAGCGCCCGCCCGCCUCAGCGCCGCCCCGAGCCGCGCGGGCGGGCUCUGCGCCCCGAGCUCCCGCCGCUCCCAUUGGGCGCGCGGCGCCGCGCGGCACCGCCUCCGCUCGCCAUUGGGCGCCUCCAGGCCCCGCGCCGAUGCCCAUUGGCUAGACGCCCGCGGCCCCGCCCCGCGGCUUCAUGGCGGCUCGGCUAUGCUGGGUUCGGGGCCGCCGCGGCCGCCAUUUUGUACCGCGGGGAGCGAGGCGCUCGCGCGUCAGUAGGGGAGCGGGCGCCAUUUCCUGCUCCGGGCAGCGCGCCCGGCGGCGGCGGAGCCCGUCGCGGGUCCCUCGGCCGGGGGCGGAACGGAGCGCGGCGGGCAGGGGGCGGCCGCGGACGGGGUGCCGGGAGCAGGGCCGCCGGCAACGGCCGAGAGGGAACGCGGGCUGCGGCCGGGCCUCGCGGCGACGGGCUCCCACCGCGGGCACGGGCUCCGGGCGGACCCGAGCGCACGGGGCUGGGGGCGGGCAGGGCCGCGCGGCGGGGCCGUGUGUGCCGCGGCGUCUGUGCCGGCCGCCUCCGGGUGCGCUGUGCUCCGCCGCCGCUUCAGCCCGGCUCCUGCGGAGGAAGGCGUUCUAUAAAGCAGCCCUGAAGGAUGCUCGUCCCGGGGUGACUUUAGGAGCGUGGUAAUCCGGCAGCAGCUCCAGAGGCAGCUAAAGCGCGUGGCAGAAAAGCCGUAGGUCGCUGCUGUGCGCUGUGGGCGCGGGCCGGGCGGCGUUGCGGCACCUCGGGGCACCGCCGCUCCGUGCGGCAGCCUGAGAGCGACCGAACGUCCUCGGCUGGGAUCAGAGACUCCGCGUGAGGAAGGAAUAGAAGACACGUUAAGAAAAGCAGGCCAAAAUGGGCCGUGAAGCUUAACGGUGCUUCUCCAGGAGCCGAUAAUUGCAAAAAGGAGGAAAUUUCCUUUAGGAAGAUGCAGCUUAACCCGUGCAAUUUACUACCGGCUCUCAAUCAGUCGGCACAGCUGAAAGCACCUGGGUGUGUGCGCAGUGCUUUGUAAUUACUCCACUGCACAGCCGAGUCUUGUAAAUCCAAGGCUGACACAUCUGACCAUAGCUUCGAUGUCCUGCACCAAAACCUCCGUUCUUUUAAAAUAAUGGUUUAGGAAAAAAUAUGCUAUCAAGCUUACACAACAGGUAAAAAGUACGUCAGAAGCGUUUGAGAGGGGAAACCAAACCUCAGAGCUAAGCAGCAGAACUAACUGCUGUCAGACUGCAGCUGUGUUCCAAACACCGCACCAAAAUGAGCACAGAUGGAGGAUUUGCUCCAGAUGUUUAUCUUCCAUUAUAGAAAAAAAAACAGAGGCUUUAGAUUUCCCAACUCUUCCUGUAGAAUUGCAUUACCCCUGAAAAAUGGAAUGGAUAAGUGCAAGUUGUAGGAGAAUCUGCAUCACCAAAACUGAAAUGGUGCACCACGAAAUGCACCAUCACCACCACCAACGUACAACUGUUCUGCAGUUUAUCUAAGUACAUUUCUUGGAGCAAAGUUGGAGGAUCCAUUCUUAUGAAAGCUGUUCCUUUCUAUUCAGUUAACACAUAAAAGCACCCCUGAAGUAAGGCCAUCCUCACAUCAAGAUAAACUUCCUCCCUUGAUGUAGAAAAAUAGAACUUUCAGAAAUAACAAUGGCGCUAAAUGGGUAAUUUUCCCUCUUUUUCCAUCUGCUUUGUACGUGCAGCCUUCUUGCUGCCGUGUUGCAUUUCCUACCACGAGGCAAAAGUAUCAGCUGGCCUAAAAAUGUUCUCAGACUUUUCCGGAGGGCAGGAAGCAUAACGAGAUAAGCAGAUACCCAACAAGCAGAUGUUCAGAAAUGAUUCAAGUCCAACUGGGCGUUUUUUCAAGGUCAAGGAAGGCACAGGAAGACCCAUUCUGUGAUUAUACAUCACCUUUUCCUACAAGAUAGAACUGUUAAUAGAUGAGGCCAGAGGACACCUGUGGGUGCUCAGGAGUUAUGCAUUUUCUAGUACACAGUACUUGGCCAGUCAGCUUAGGGCUCACUAAGUACUACUGUGGCUCGCAUACCACUAGCCUAACAGCUUGGAUUCAACACUUAGGCUUUUUCCACCUCAGGUGCAAUAUCGAUCAAGUCUGCAAUUUGCUUCAAGUACCCCUUUGGUAUUAUUACAAUAGGGGAAAAGCAACAGCACAGUGCUGCCUCAGCCUCUCACACACCAGCACUCUGCGCAGGGAAAUGUUUUUCACCUAAGAAAGGCUGUCCACAGAGGAGGGAGUGGAUCAGCCCCAUGCACGUGGCUCGCAGCACAGCACGAGCGGUCCUGUAACAAGCAGAAGGCAGAGAACCAUGCCAGGAGAACAGUGCCAGUCAGCUCAGCAAGGGGACCCCACACCGCCAAUUCCAGCUACGCUGCUGAUGCAAAAAAACACACCACACAAACCAAUUUUCUGAAGACUGCAUUUUGAGUAUCAUAAUAUAUAUAUGUGCAUUUCAUUUUUACAGAUAUAAACUCAGUUUAUUUUUAACCUGUAUUUAAAUUUUGGAGGCUUACAUUAAAUUAAGGUAGCUCGUUUAAUAUCAAUUGUAACAGCAGGUGACAUUUUUUAUAUAAAAACAGCCAAAAGAAAAAAAAAACAUUUGAUUUAAAAGACCUGACACCAAUGAUCUCAAGGCAAGAUCAAAAACCUAUGGAUUUAUGCUUUAAGAAAAGAAAGAGGGGGCAUUUGAGCCAACCCGUUCACAGCAUCUCCCUGCUGGCUUCUUCAUACAGUGGUUUCGAUAGUGGUCCCAGAGGGAACUGUAUUUUGCCUCUCUAGCUAAAAUACUAGUUACUAUAGCAACUUUGAAAGAAGAAAAUUGUGGCUUCAAAAAAAUGGAAGAUUGGCAAAACUUCAAAUACACUGUCUGGAUCAGGCAGACAAUCGUACACUAACACUGGGAGUGCACUUGCACUACCACGUUUGGGGGGCAGGGGGGAAAAAAAAGGUUCUGCAAAAUUAAUGGGAAAAAUUGCAUUCAUAGAUCAAAGCCCAGGUUAGCCAAAUUAUUAUUUUUUUUAAUAGAUUGCAUAUAUAGAUGUUUCAUCCACACACUUCAAUCAACUCAUUUAAGAGCAGAACUUCACAUCUAAUUUACAUGCUUCAGAAAAGAUCACUUUCUCAGUGCUUACAAUGAACAUUUGUAUCCAAAUUGUAACUCGUACAGUGAGAUCUUUAAGAAAAACAAAGGACACAGAGGGUGUUGCUAUUUCUUUCUUUUUUAGCAGCAAUGAAAUAUCACUAACCCCUUUUUUACAGAACCGAAUUCAAGUCACAACCAGAGGUGACUGCACCACAAAGUCACCAGGUACAAAACUGCUAGUUCAUUUUAAAUUAAUAACUUGAAAUUAUUUUCCCCAAUACAUCCCUUCUUUUUUAUUUUUAUUUUUUUAUAAACAGCAAACAUUUUGCUAUUUUUGUACAUAGGCUAGCAGGCUUGUUUCAAUAUGAAAGUGCUAAUUCAUUUACAGAUUUAUCAGUUAUGUAGUGCUACAUUAAGUGUCCAAUAUUCUACAUAUGAACAAUCUUGAUAAAUGGAAACGAUGAAGAUUAAGUAAGGCUAUUCGAUUACCUUAUUUACACUGAAAGAAUAGACACCCAAAUAAGGAAGGGAGAAAAGGGAAGUUGGGCAAAUACUCAUACCGCCACAGGUGUAAAAAUUAAGUCUGCCUCCUAACUUGUACUGUAAAUGAGAUUUUCGAUAGUCCUGCAGCCCAUGCCUAUGUUUUUUUUUCCUCAGAAAAAGAAAAGCUGCCUUCAUGACAUCCCUCUUGAUUUCCGAUUUCCAAAGUGUGUCAUUUGAAGCUUUAAAUUCAGAUUCUUCCUAUCUUCAAAAAAACCCUCUGGUUUGCUUUCCAGUAUUAGAUUGCAUGAUCAGGUCCCACAUCUGGGGCUUUUGUCCAACCUAUUUAUCAAUUAGUUUAGAGUGAGCUGUAGAUAACAUGAACCAAUUCUGGAACCACUAUUGGGAGGAACACAAGCUCUUCACUACAAUCACACAGUAGCAGGAAAAGUGAUAAUUCAAUUCAUUCCUGGGGCAGGGCCUCCAAAAUUAAACGAAGUUGGCACGACUGGAGCAUUGAAUUUGUAUCCUCCAUGCUUUUCAAUCAUUUUGGAUUCUAAAAGAUAAAAAUAAAAAGAAUAAGGAUAGAAGGAAAGUUAAUCACUGCCCACAAAGCAGAAAUCCAUCAGGCCCCAGCAGACAGACUUAAAGUUAUGCUUAAAUGACAAAUGAAGUUUACGUUUCCAACGAGCACACUUCAGCUUUUGGGAACGAGUAUGUAAGUCCACAUUCAGAAAGAAGACCUCAACAAAUGCUGGAUUGCUAAAAUUGCUGACAGAUGCCGACUUCUUUCUGAUUAAAAUACUUGCCCAUCAGAUCAGUAACAGAUCACGUAUCUCUUCAGUGUUUUUGUUUGUAAUAUCAGCUCAAUUUUCAUUUGUCCCUAUGUCAGCUCAACAGUAUAAGCAGACUUAGCUUAGUUUUGAGAGAAACCACCACAUUUAUCACGUUUAUUUUCAACCACGCCUUACCACCUUCAGGCAUUUGAGGUCCACAAAUCCAUCCCUCCAACUGCUUUUACUAGAUGCAUAUUACAUCCUUUAGAGGUCACAGCAAGAUUGCCUUUUACAAGUUCUAAUCUUUUUUUACAAGCUCUAAUGAAAGGAGAGCUCAAAAACAGGUUGGUAAAAAGCAGACAUAUGCAUUUCUAUCAACCAACACUACGAUCUAGGUAACAUAAAAGGGUUGCAUUAUCCCCAGCUCAAGGCAACAAAGGUUAUUAAAUGUCUAACUUCAAGUCUA